AACGCACAUUGCGCUCUCUGGUAUUCCGGGGAGCAUGCUCGUUUCAGAAUCAUUAUAUCCUCAACCCCCUGGAUCGAUUGUGCAUGUUACAUGCAGUUCGGCUCAGUGGAUUGAAUGUGGGCUGAUUUUUUGCCUUGGGCGUGCCCAACCAAAAUGGCCUGAAAAUGAUUGUGUUUGGCAUCUGUCUGUAUAUGUCAGCUGUUCCCAAAAAGCAACAGAUUUUUGUUUUCUUUUUGUACGGCUGAGCAAUCACAGUAGAUUUACAAGCACUCCAAAUUUUUACACAGCAAGAUUGAGACUUUUGUGCUCCGUCUCGCUGAAAACUUGGUCUGAAAUCGAGUAAGAAAACCCGCUGAACUUAA
rnacentral:misc_RNA from 1 species